GACGUACUCCCUCCGUCCGAAAAUACUUGUCAUUAAAAUGGACAAAAAGAGAUGUAUGUAGAACUAAAAUACAUCUAGAUACAUCCCCUUUUAUUCAUUUUGACGACAAGUAUUUCCGGACGGAGGGAGUACUAA
rnacentral:pre_miRNA from 1 species